rnacentral:lncRNA from 1 species
AAAAGACAGCAGUAACCUCUGUAGACUUAAAUGUCCCUGUCUGACAGCUUUGAAGAGAGCAGUGGUUCUCCCAGCACGCAGCUGGAGAUCUGAGAACCGGCAGACUGCCUCUUCAAGUGGGUCCCUGACCCUGACCCCCGAGCAGCCUAACUGGGAGGCACCCCCCAGCAGGGGCAUACUGACACCUCACACGGCAGGGUAUUCCAACAGACCUGCAGCUGAGGGUCCUGUCUGUUAGAAGGAAAACUAACAAACAGAAAGGACAUCCACACCGAAAACCCAUCUGUACAUCACCAUCAUCAAAGACCAAAAGUAGAUAAAACCACAAAGAUGGGGAAAAAACAGAACAGAAAAACUGGAAACUCUAAAAAGCAGAGCGCCUCUCCUCCUCCAAAGGAACGCAGUUCCUCACCAGCAACGGAACAAAGCUGGACGGAGAAUGACUUUGACAAGCUGAGAGAAGAAGGCUUCAGACGAUCAAAUUACUCCAAGCUACGGGAGGACAUUCAAACCAAAGGCAAAGAAGUUGGAAACUUUGAAAAAAAUUUAGGAGAAUGUAUAACUAGAAUAACCAAUACAGAGAAGUGCUUAAAGGAGCUGAUGGAGCUGAAAACCAAGGCUCGAGAACUACAUGAAGAAUGCAGAAGCCUCAGGAGCCGAUGAGAUCAACUGGAAGAAAGGGUAUCAGCAAUGGAAGAUGAAAUGAAUGAAAUGAAGUGAGAAGGGAAGUUUAGAGAAAAAAGAAUAAAAAGAAAUGAGCAAAGCCUCCAAGAAAUAUGGGACUAUGUGAAAAGACCAAAUCUACAUCUGAUUGGUGUACCUGAAAGUGAUGGGGAGAAUGGAACCAAGUUGGAAAACACUCUGCAGGAUAUUAUCCAGGAGAACUUCCCCAAUCUAGCAAGGCAGGCCAACGAACAAAGAACAAAGAAACAAAAGAACAAAGCUGGAGGCCUCACGCUACCUGACUUCAAACUAUACUACAAGGCUACAGUAACCAAAACAGCAUGGUACUGGUACCAAAACAGAGAUAUAGAUCAAUGAAACAGAACAGAGCCCUCAGAAAUAAUGCCGCAUAUCUACAACUAUCUGAUCUUUGACAAACCUGAGACAAACAAGCAAUGGGGAAAGGAUUCCCUAUUUAAUAAAUGGUGCUGGGAAAACUGGCUAGCCAUAUGUAGAAAGCUGAAACUGGAUCCCUUCC